rnacentral:misc_RNA from 1 species
GACGAAUCGUGCAAACGUUGUUCGGAAUCACUGGGCUUAAAGGGCGCGUAGGCGGGCAGCCAAGUCGGUGGUGAAAUCUUUCGGCUCAACCGGAAAAUUGCCAUUGAUACUGGUUGUCUCGAGGGAGGUAGGGGCAGAUGGAACUUCCAGUGGAGCGGUGAAAUGUGUUGAUAUUGGAAGGAACGCCGGUGGCGAAAGCGGUCUGCUGGACCUCUUCUGACGCUGAGGCGCGAAAGCUAGGGGAGCAAACGGG